CGAAACCUCCGAAUGGAAACAGAUUCGGACUCUGAUGGCUCUCAUGUCUCCGCCACUCCUCCGAGAGACUCUAAUCCGCCGCUGCUGCCAUCGCAAAUUCCUCAGAGGACUCUUCUCAACUCUAAAUCUAAAGUUAGAGUCAAACCAAUCAAAACAUCUUCGCGCACAGAAAGCGAAAAAACAACCAACCCUAAACCCUUCCAAUCGGAACCUACACCAAACAACCCUACUCCUGCCAAAACUCUACCUUUCCAGAUUCGCCGGCCAUUCGCUCAAAACCUCUCUACCUCGGCCGUUAAUUCCCUCGAAACCCUUCCAGCUGGAUUCUUCUCUAAACACGCGUCAUUCUCAAAAAUCCAUAAACCCUCUCUCAAUUUCGAAAAGGACCAAUCUCUCCCUCUUCCUUCUAAUCCUGAAACUUCUGAAAUCAAAAGUGAUGUUGCCAAGGUGAAGAAACAGAUUAAUUUGGUCAGCGUUGAUAUGCCUUUGCCGCCGGUGAAAUUACGAAAAUCUAGUGGAGAAGGUAACUUCGUGAGGUUGAAUUUGAAUCGCGGUAAACGUAAAUUUGUGAAUAAGGGUAAAAGAACCAAAAAUAGUUAUGCAUCAUCCAGCACUAGGGAAUCUUAUAGGAAAAGUAAGUCAAAAUUAAUUAAAAAGAAACAGAAGAAUUUAAGUGGUGAUGAAGAGGAUUUGGUAAUUGAAGCCACGCAACAGAAUCAAAAGAAAAGAAAAGUAGCCAGUGAUUUAGUAGAAGAGGCUGUGAGAGCCGUUAAAAAUGAGGCUUCUGAUGAGAAUCUAGUGAGCUUGUUGAAGCUGGUGUACGGUUAUGAUGCAUUUCGUGAUGGACAGUUGGAAGCAAUUAAGAUGGUACUUGAUGGAAAAUCAACGAUGCUGGUUUUGCCAACCGGUGUGGGGAAGUCUUUGUGUUAUCAGAUACCGGCAAUGGUUUUACCGGGAUUAACUCUGGUUGUCAGCCCAUUAGUGGCAUUAAUGAUUGAUCAGUUGAGACAGUUGCCUCCUGUGAUUCGAGGGGGUCUUUUGUGUAGUAGUCAGAGACCUCAAGAGGUUAACGAGACGCUAAAGCUGCUUCAUGAAGGUGUCAUUAAGGUGCUUUAUGUUUCACCCGAAAGGUUUCUAAAUGCAGAAUUUUUAUCAAUAUUUUCUGCUACUUUGUCUGUAUCACUUGUUGUUGUGGAUGAAGCACAUUGUAUAUCAGAAUGGUCACACAAUUUCCGGCCCUCAUACAUGAGGCUUAGGGCGUCUUUACUUCAAGCAAGGCUUAAUGUUGAGUGUGUUCUUGCAAUGACUGCAACUGCCACAACCACCACUUUGCAUGAUGUUAUGUCUGCUUUAGAAAUUCCAACAGGCAAUCUCAUUCAAAAAGCCCAAUUAAGGGACAAUCUACAAUUAUCAGUAUCUUUAAGUGGAAACAAUAGAAUGAAAGAUCUGCUGACGUUAAUCAGUUCUUCCCCCUUCAGGGAAGUUCAAAGUAUCAUUAUUUAUUGCAAAUUUCAGUCUGAAACUGAUCUUGUAAGCAGAUACUUGUGUGAUAACAAUAUCUCCGCAAAGAGUUAUCACAGUGGAAUCCCUGCUAAGGAUCGCAGCCGUGUACAAGAUUUGUUUUGCUCUAAUAAGAUCAGAGUGGUCGUUGCAACUGUGGCAUUUGGCAUGGGACUUGACAAGAGGGAUGUUGGAGCUGUAAUUCAUUACAGCAUGCCAGAAAGCUUGGAAGAGUAUGUUCAGGAGAUAGGACGUGCUGGACGAGAUGGGAGGUUGUCCUAUUGCCAUCUAUUUUAUGAUAAUAUUACUUACAUCAGGCUCCGUAGUCUCAUGCACAGCGAUGGAGUAGAUGAAUAUGCAAUAAACAAAUUCCUCUGUCAAGUUUUCUCUAAUGGCAAGAAUUCUUGUGGGAAAAUUUGCUCAGUUAUCAAGGAAUCAGCCUCUCGCAAAUUUGAUAUGAAGGAAGAGGUGAUGCUUACUCUUUUGACACACUUGGAGUUGGGGGAAGUACAAUACUUGCGUCUACUCCCACAGCUAAAUGUAACUUGUACUUUGAAUUUCCAUAAGACCACUCCAACAUUGCUUGCUGACAAGGAUAAUGUGGUCUCAGCAAUUGUAAAGAAGUCUGAGAUUAAACUAGGACAAUAUGUAUUUGACAUUCCGACUGUAGCAAACAGCAUUGGCUCUACAGCUAUUGAUGUAUCAAAUCAGUUGCUGAAUUUAAAGUCGAUGGGAGAAGUAACUUAUGAGUUGAAGGAUCCUGCCUACUGUUACACAAUUUUGGAGCUCCCCAGUGAAUUUUGUUCUCUUUCAGCACAUCUUACAAAAUGGUUAUCAGAGGUUGAAAGUUGCAAGGUAACCAAAUUGGACACAAUGUUCAAUGCUGCUGUUUUUGCUGUGAACAUGUGUGAGAAGGUGGAUGGCUGCUAUGGUUCACAGCAUACCCCUUGCUUGCAAAAGAAGAUUUUGGAUUACUUUAAGGGGGAUGGUGACUGUGAUGUCCCUAAUAAGAUUGGUCAGAGCAGCCCAUUUCUAAGAGCAGAUAUAAAGGUGUUUCUGCAGAGUAACUCGCACACAAAAUUUACCCCUAGAGCUGUUGCAAGAAUAAUGCAUGGCAUUGCAAGCCCAUCGUACCCUUCUAUGACUUGGUCUAAAACUCAUUUCUGGGGAAGAUAUAUGCAAAUAGACUUCCAAGCCGUAAUGGAAGCAGCAAAGGCAGAGCUCUUGAAUUUUGUUGGGAAGGAUGUGCCUUAGUUGCUUACAAUCGUGUAUAAUAUCCUACAACAAUUGAAUUGGAGGGCCAUUUCAUACUAUUACCGUAAAUUUUCUUAGCAAAGUAAUUUUUUUUUUUAACUCUCAACCAUUUUUUUCAGAUGUCCCAAAUUUCCUCCAAAGUCCUUCAGUGAUCAACACUUUCUCUGCAUAGUAUGAUUAAAUUAUCCUGAACAAUUUAUAAUUCAUGUAAAUGUUUAUUCUUUCCCUGUGAAAGGUCACCAGCAGAAGUGUUCUACAGGCAUAUCUAGUGGGGGCAAACAACCCAAUCCGGGUAUUGUUUGGUUCAAGUUGACUCAAUGAAAUAGACAUAAUCGCAUAAGGUUUGGGCUGAAACUUGACGAAUUCAAGUGUUGUUGGCUUGAGUUUGAACUUAAAUUUGAGAAUGAAAGUUAAAGUGAAAAUUCAAGUUCGGUUUAAAAAUGUAUAGUUAACUCUCAUUAUAUAUAUAUAUAUUUCUUUAUUAUUUUUUUAUAUUUAAAGUUAAA